AAAUGAAAUAAUACAGGUGGACAGAUCUUGGUCCACCCCACUGCCAAAAACAGAAAGGUGGGGUUAAUUAAAAUGGUCAGCACUCAGCAGAUGGGGGUUACUUAUUAAAUAGGGGUGACAUAGCCUCCACCCACAGAAUGAGGAUGUAGCUACGUUGUUUUUAUUUGGGUGGUGGCUAGGAGCUUGGGCACCACGGGGGUAACAAUGUCUUACAUGUUUGUAUUGUAU